rnacentral:rRNA from 1 species
UCGAAGGAUGAACGCGUGGCGGCGGUGACUUAACACAUGCAAGUACGAACGGAAGAUAUGCAGAGAUUGAGUAUUUCGGUACAAAUCGAAGUGUAUUCUUUAGGUGGGACGGGACGGGUGAGUAACGCGGUACGGGUAACCUCGCCAAUAUACGGAAGGGGAUAACACUUAAGAAAUAGGUGACUAACUACCGCAAUAACGGCGCACAGUCGGACGCAGUCGGCCAGGUGUGAAAAACUCCGGUGGUAUAUGAUGGACCCGCGUCUGAUUAGCUAGUUGGUGAGGUAACGGCCCACCAAGGCGACGAUCAGUAGCCGGCCUGAGAGGGUGGACGGCCACAUUGGGACUGAGACACGGCCCAAACUCCUACGGGAGGCAGCAGUGGGGGAUAUUGGACAAUGGGGGGAACCCCGAUCCAGCGACGCCGCGUGAGUGAAGAAGUAUCUCGGUAUGUAAAGCUCUAUCAGCAGGGAAGAAAGAAAUGACGGUACCUGAGUAAGAAGCCCCGGCUAACUACGUG